AGUGAACGCUGGCGGUAGGCCUAACACAUGCAAGUCGAACGGCAGCACAGUAAGAGCUUGCUCCUACGGGCGGCGAGUGGCGGACGGGUGAGUAAUACAUCGGAAUCUACUUUUUCGUGGGGGGUAACGCAGGGGAACUUACGCCAAUACCGCAUACGACUUACGGGUGAAAGCAGGGGAUCUUCGGACCUUGUGCGAUUGAAUGAGCCGAUGUCGGAUUAGAUAGCUGGCGGGGUAAAGGCCCACCAAGGCGACGAACCGUAGCUGGUCUGAGAGGAUGAUAAGCCACACUGGAACUGAGACGCGGUCCGGACUACAACGGGAGGCAGCAGUGGGGUGUAUAGUACUAUGCGCGGAGCCCUAGUCCAGACAUGCCGCGUGGGUGGAAAAAGCAUUCGGGUAUUGGAUCUAAUUUGUUUUGAUAGAAAGGCAGCGGGUUAGUACCCCGCUGUUCUGACGGUACCCAAUGAAUAAGAACCGGCUAACUUCGUG
rnacentral:rRNA from 1 species